rnacentral:ncRNA from 1 species
AUCUUCAGGGCGGGGUGUAAUUCCCCACCGGUGGUAAGCCUCACAGCAAGCCCACGAGCCUUUAUGGCAGAUUUGGUGUAAAUCCAAAGCCGACGGUCACAGUCCGGAUGAAAGAAGAC